UACGUAGGGGGCCAGCGUUGUCCGGAAUCAUUGGGCGUAAAGGGCGCGUAGGCGGCCUUCUAAGUCGAACGUGAAAUCCCCGGGCUCAACCCGGGAACUGCGUCCGAUACUGGAAGGCUUGAAUCCGGGAGAGGGAUGCGGAAUUCCAGGUGUAGCGGUGAAAUGCGUAGAUAUCUGGAGGAACACCGGUGGCGAAGGCGGCAUCCUGGACCGGUAUUGACGCUGAGGCGCGAAAGCCAGGGGAGCAAACGGG
rnacentral:rRNA from 1 species